UUCUAAUAGAAAUAAUUAUUAGUAAAAUCUGCUCAAUGAAAAUUAAAUAGCCGCAACUUUGUUUGUGCUAAGGUAGCAUAAUCAUUUGUCUUUUAACUAAAGACUAGAACGAAAGAUUUAACAUUUUAAUUUCUAUAAAAAUAAUUUAUUUACCAAAUUAUUUUAAAUAUUAAAAAAUAUUUAUUCCAAUAAAAGACGAUAAGACCCUAUUAAACUUAACUUCAGUUUAACUGGGGAAGUUAAUUAAAUAAAAUUUUAGUAAUACACUUUUUCUAAUAAUUGACCUAAUAAAAUUAAUUAUUUAAUCAAGUUACUAUAGGGAUAACAGCGUAAUAAUUUUUUCAAGAUCCUAUUUAAAAAAUAAUUUGCGACCUCGAUGUUGAAUAAUAUCCUAUUAAAUGCAAUAAUUUAAUAAGAAAGUCUGUUCGACUUUUAAUUAAUUACA
rnacentral:rRNA from 1 species